rnacentral:rRNA from 1 species
UGAACGCUGGCGGCGUGCCUAAUACAUGCAAGUCGAGCGAACAGAUGAGGAGCUUGCUCCUCUGACGUUAACGGCGGACGGGUGAGUAACACGUGGAUAACCUACCUAUAAGACUGGGAUAACUUCGGGAAACCGGAGCUAAUACCGGAUAAUAUAUUGAACCGCAUGGUUCAAUAGUGAAAGACGGUUUUGCUGUCACUUAUAGAUGGAUCCGCGCCGCAUUAGCUAGUUGGUAAGGUAACGGCUUACCAAGGCAACGAUGCGUAGCCGACCUGAGAGGGUGAUCGGCCACACUGGAACUGAGACACGGUCCAGACUCCUACGGGAGGCAGCAGUAGGGAAUCUUCCGCAAUGGGCGAAAGCCUGACGGAGCAACGCCGCGUGAGUGAUGAAGGUCUUCGGAUCGUAAAACUCUGUUAUUAGGGAAGAACAAAUGUGUAAGUAACUAUGCACGUCUUGACGGUACCUAAUCAGAAAGCCACGGCUAACUACGUG